GUGGUGGCUUUCAUGCGCGUCCGUGUGAAGAGACCACCAAACAGGCUUUGUGUGAGCAAUAAAGCUGUUUAUUUCACCUGGGUGCAGGUGGGCUGAGUCCGAAAAGAGUCAGCGAAGGGAGAUAGGGGUGGGGCUGUUUUAUAGUAUUUGGGAAGGUAAUGGAAAAUUACAGUCAAAGGGCGGGCAGGAGUGGGGGGUCGCAAGGUGCUCAGUGGGGGUGCUUCUGAGCCAGGAGAAGGAAAUUUGCAGGGUUAAUCACUCAGUUAAGGUGCCUUGCCUAAGGUUUACAUAGUUCCAUUUGAGUGCCUACAUGGGAGUGCUUCAUUUGGUCCCCAAAGCUAGCCUGAGACAAGAACUUUCUUCUCCCCCCCCCGCAAGAGACAGGCUCUUCCCAUGUUGCCCAGGCUGCUCUCCAACUCCUGGCCUCAGGCGAUCCUCCCACCUCGGCCUCCUGAAGUGUUGGGAUGACAGCCAUGAGCCACUGUGCCUGCCCAGUUAUUAUUUUAUAAAUGUAGAAACCGAGGCACUGAGAGGUAAAGUAACUUGCACAGGAUCACAAGCCAGCCGAGAAGUGGUAGAGCUUGGAUUUGAACUUACACAAUCUGGGACUCAUACUCUUAAUACACAGUGGUACUGUCAAUACAGGAGACACAUGUGGCUAUUUAAUUAAAAGUAGUUGGGCAGAGUGGCUCACUCCUAUAAUCUCAGCAUUUGGGGAGGCCAAGGCAGGAAGAUUGUUUGAGCCCAGAAGUUCAACACUGCAGUGAGCUAUAGUUACACCACUGUGCUCCAGCCUGGGCGACACAGCGAGACCCUGACUCCAAAAAAAAAUCUUAAGGUUUUUUUUUUUUUUUUUUUUUUUUUGAGACAGGGUCUCGCUCUGUUGCCCAGGCUAGAAUUUAGCGGCACGAUCACAGAUCAUCACAGCCACGCACGACCUCCUUGGCUCAAGGGAUUCCUCCCACCUCAGCCUCUCACGUAGCUGGGACUACAGGUAUGCAUAACCUCGCUGGGCUCGUUACUUUGUUUUUUUUUUAGAGGCAGGAUUUCACCAUGUUGCCCAGGGUGGUCUCGUACUCCUGGAUUCAAGCAAUCCUCCUGCUUCGGCCUCCCAAAGUGUCAGGAUUACAGGCGUGAGCCACUGUGCCCAGUCUCAAACAAAAUUAAAAAUUCAGUUUCUCAGUCACACUAGCCACAUUUCAAGUGCUCAGAAACUUUAUGUGGGGCCAGGCAUGGUGGCUCAUGCCUGCAAUCCCAGCACUUUGGGAGGCCGAGGCGGGCGGAUCACGAGGUCAGGAGUUCGAGACCAGCCUAACCAACAUGGUGAAACCCUGUCUCUACUAAAAAAAUACAAAAAUUAGCCGGGCGUGGUGGUGUGCGCCUGUAAUCUCAGCUACUUGGGAGGUUGAGGCGGGAGCAUUGCUUGAACCCGGGAGGCGGAGGAUGUGGUGAGCCGACGUCGUGCCAUUGCACUCCAGCCUGGGCAAUAAGAGCGAAACUCCGUCUCAAAAAAAAAAAACAAAGGUUUAUGUGGCCACUGGCUACUGUACUGGACAGUACAGACCUAGAACAUGAACCAAACAUCACAGAAAGUUCCAGUGGAGAACACUGCUACAUAUCUGCCUGUUUUAGUUAGAAGCCAACAUUUUAUUUUUAUUUUAUUUUAUUUUUUGAGAUGGAGUUUCGCUGCUGUUGCCCAGGCUGGAGUGCAAUGGUGCGAUCUCGGCUCACCACAACCUCCGCCUCCCAGGUUCAAGCAAUUCUCCUGCCUCAGCCUCCUGAGUAGCUGGGAUCACAGGCAUGCUCCACCACGCCCAGCUAAUUUUGUAUUUUUAGUAGAGAUGGGGUUUCU
rnacentral:lncRNA from 10 species